UUUCAAAAAUUCAUGAUGAUUUUUUUGGUUGAAUUUUACAAUUGGACAUUCUCACUCUUCGUAUUUCGGAGCACAAACGAUGGCUAUAGCCUCAGCCAUCAUCAAUUGGAAUCAGCAAGCACACCGCAAGUUUCUUUAUUGUUCGACGUGUUCUUGAAAGCAAGAUGAAGAAACUCUGACAUUGUUCUACUUGGGAGAACGACUUCGCGUAAGCUCUGUUUAUCAUGGACAAACGGUGUUGGUUUUGUUGAACGAUCUAUCGAUGGAGUUUUCCUGUGAAUCGAAGUAAAUGUUUGAAUGAUUCGAGACACGAAACAUGACCAAAAGUUAGGUCUCCGGAUUGAAUGAUUCCAUUUCGAUUUAUAUUUCUCAUUUCACAUUUUGGAGAUGGGAAAUAUUUGAGGCGAUCCGCUGGUACUGCGAGAGGAUCAAAUUCUGCAGCAACCGUAGGGAAUGGAGGUGGCGCAGAUGGUUGUAAUAGUUCUGUUUCUGCAUUCCCAAGCACAGAGGGAUUCAGCACAGUUUUAGCCGAUUGGGCUGCAGCAAGGGCAGCCAAUUUAUUUUGUCGGUCUUCUUCUUCUUUUAACCUGGGUUGCACAAAGAGAUAUCAAAUUUCAUAAAACCAAUAUAUGAAUUAAAAAAUAUAACUGAACAAAAAUCUUGAUUUAUCAAAAAAAUUAUUUGGAAUAUCUAAAAUUUGUGAAAGAAAUCAAUAAAUUAUGCCUCGGUCAUGGAUCGAAUGGAAAUAA